rnacentral:tRNA from 1 species
UAUAUGUUGAUGUAGAGAGCAUAAAAAGUUUUGAUCUUCUUUGAAAUGGUGCAAAUCCAUUACGUAUAA